rnacentral:rRNA from 1 species
CAGUCGCCGCGGUAAUACAGAGGGUGCAAGCGUUAAUCGGAUUUACUGGGCGUAAAGGGCGCGUAGGUGGUUAUUUAAGUGAGAUGUGAAAGCCCCGGGCUUAACCUGGGAACUGCAUCUUAUACUGGGUAACUGGAGUGCAGUAGAGGGUAGUGGAAUUUCCGGUGUAGCGGUGAAAUGCGUAGAUAUCGGAAGGAACACCAGUGGCGAAGGCGGCUACCUGGACUGAGACUGACACUGAGGCGCGAGAGCGUGGGGAGCAAACAGGAUUAGAUACCCGCGUAGUCCCUGUCUCUUAUAC